CCUUUGCCUGUGGGGAGUCCUCCCAGCAGGGGAACUGCCUCUUCCCGUGUGGCCCGAAGACCCUGGACUUCACUCUACUCCUGGGGAUUCGCCCUUCACACCAGAGCACCGCCAGAAUCACAUGGUCAU